rnacentral:rRNA from 1 species
UAACACGUGGGUGACCUACCUUCGAAUGGGGGAUAACGGCCCGAAAGGGACGCUAAUACCGCAUAACAUCCUGUCCUUGAAUGGGCGGAGAUCAAAGCUGGGGAUCGUAAGACCUGGCGUUUGGAGAGGGACCUGCGCCCGAUUAGCUAGUUGGUGAGGUAAUGGCUCACCAAGGCUCCGAUCGGUAUCCGGCCUGAGAGGGCGGACGGACACACUGGAACUGAGACACGGUCCAGACUCC